UGCAGAAGCUGCAGCUGACCAGGAGCAUCUGGACCAUUGACCUGGCCUACCUGAUGCACCACUUUGGCGUGAGGCACCGCUUCUGUACCCAGACCCUGGGCGUCGACAAGGGCUACAAGAACCAGUGGGAGGAAAUGAAGUUUUCAGGAUGGUGGGAUGUGAUUUAGACAGUGCACAUGCUGUUAGGGCUGUCACUAGGGAGUGGCCUUCAUGGAGGGUGGUAACAGCACCUCAGUCCAGCCAAAAUGUUUAGAAACACUCAGUCUCUGGUCCCAGAGGAUGGCUUCUCAGGGCAUGCCACAAGUUAAAGGUCACCUUCCUGAAAGAUGAAUGAGAAAGCUGCCCAUUCUCAAGACUCAUCUGCCUAGGGAGGGUCACAGAGGCAGGAUGUAAGACACACUGUGUUGCAUUCUUGCACAAGUCAUGAAAAUGGGGCCAGAGAGCCUGGACAUCAGGGACUUUUGCCUACAGCACAUGACACCAACAGCUGCCCAGCCUGUUCACAUGCUGGGGACCAGCACAGCACCUGAAGCCAUGUGGGACAGUGGGCUUUGUUCAUUCUAGCC
rnacentral:sRNA from 1 species